rnacentral:hammerhead_ribozyme from 1 species
AUCUAGCUAACGAGUCUCCAAUAGGACUAAACGCGUGUCCUAGAU